GCCUGGCUAGCUCAGUCGGUAGAGCACAAGACUCUUAAUCUCGGGGUCCGUGGGUUCGAGCCCCACGUUGGGUG
rnacentral:tRNA from 1 species